rfam:Candidatus Gottesmanbacteria bacterium RBG_13_37_7 RBG_13_scaffold_4065, whole genome shotgun sequence.
GGAGGCGUCGCAUAGUGGUCCAGUGCGAAGGUUUGCUAAACCUUUGAGCCCAAAAGGCUCACGUGGGUUCGAAUCCCACCGCCUCCG